CACGGAGUUACGAGGCGAGAAAGUGGGGGGUCCGCGAGACGAGGACGGAGACUCGCGUGGCAUUCAUCCCACGACCACGAUGAGAGCAGGACGAAAGACAGGACACACGCAGUAAUGCAUUUUACACACGCGCGCGCGCAUGUUGUCCAGUCAUGCACACACGGUGGGAUUUUUUUUUACGCUCGUACACGGUGGUCUUGUUGGUUAGCCGGUGUGGAGAUCUGUUGAAGUUUUGCACGAAUGAACUCGUCACACCAUCCUAUACGUCACUUCUAUGUUGCUCGUGCGCAGCCAAUGGAUGUCCCACAAAACCGCAGAUUUUGUUUGUUUGGAUAAUUACACUGAGUCCGGGACUGUGACUUAGACCUCGAUGAUGGCGUCGAUAUCAUGAAUUAAUAUUAGUGGCCUUGGAGCAAUUAAUAGCCGACCGACGAUCACGCGGACAGAUUUCUUCGACUCACCACGGAAAUCGGCAGGCGGAACGAAGCUGAGAAGGAGGGACGGCGGUAAAAAGGAAGAGGAAAAAAGAAUGUUGCCGAGAGACGGAAAGAGAUGGAGGACCGGUACGUCGCGGGAGGAGGGAGAGAGAUAGGCGGAACGGCAAGAAAGGGAAACGGGAUCCAGAAGGAAAGACCAAUCGAGCGAGCAUUAUACGACUGGACAUUUCGGGCAUUUUUACGAAAGGGACGCGCAGGAACGCGUGUUCUAUUAGCUAAGACAAAAGAGCGGCGCCUAAGCGGGGGCCCCUCGAAACGGGCCCCGAAACUGUCCGACGGCGUUUAUUUAUGCGUCGAACCGCGGAAAAAGAUGUAAGUCCCCCGGUGCCUGCUGCAUUCCUGCUUUCGAUCCAGCACGCCCCGACAGGGAUAUUAUCUCCCUAGGAUAUAUAAUCGACGUGUCCUCGAGGUCGUAAGGACGUAUUUUUGUUUGAGCGCGGAGAAAGGAAUAGGUUUGCGCGUACACUAUUAACCCCGCGAUCGCUUAUCUGCCAUACGGAUGAAAAGACGCGCACGCGAAAACGGCACGGAACGUAACGGGAUCGCGUCAGAGGGCGGCUAAUCGCGAUAAACCUGUUAAUUAUGAAGUAUUAGUCGGUGAAGAAGAAAAAUGUGGAGAGAAGGGAAGAAAAGAGGGGUAACACGAGGUGGCGGUCGGCUAGGAAAUGAAUCUGAACCUAA